UGCAGUGCUCACAAACUUAGAGUGAAGCUCAGCUGUCUGGGGAGACUAGAAGACCAGCUGGGUUCUCACUGGGCUGUGGCUCCUGGAGGAAUGGACAAGAUCCUGGGAGCAUCACUUUUAAUCCUAGGCCUUCACCUCACCUGGGUGAGUGGCCAGCAGAAGGGAAAAAGUGACCAGCAGCAAGUGAAGCAAAGUCCUCAAUCUCUGACUGUCCAGGAAGGAGGGAUUUUAGAGCUGAACUGUUUGUAUGAAAACAGUGUAUUUGACUACUUUGGAUGGUAUCAGCAAUUGCCUGGUAAAGGCCCAGCAUUAUUGGUAGCCAUCAGUUCAAUUAGAAUAAAAGAAGAAUUUGGACGAUUCACAGUUUUCUUCAACAAAAGUGCUAAACAUAUCUCCUUGCACAUCAAGGACUCUCAACCUGGAGAUUCAGCCACCUACUUCUGUGCAGCAAGAGCACAGUGCUCUCCAGGCACCUGCAGCCUGAACUCAAACCUGCAUCUGAGGCCCCAGCCAAGCCUGCUGCAGGCCUUAGACUGACAGAAACACAGACUGGCUUUCACUUGCACAGAUAGGUGAUGAAGUAAAUGUAUGGAUUCACUAGUGCAGGUGCAUGAAAGGGUAGUUGUUAAAGUAAAUUUAAAAAACUCAAUUUAAUGAGUAACCAACCUGCAGAAAUUUUUUCACAAUAAAGUAUUUGGGGUUGUCAUCACUAUUUAAUCAGUUCUAGGUCAAGUGGCUCUUUAUACAUUGCUGGUAGAAUGCAUUUGGUCUGACU